CAUUCUUCCUAGAAUGGUCCGU
rnacentral:miRNA from 1 species